rnacentral:rRNA from 1 species
AUGUCCGUCCGGAUCGGUGUCACAAUCGUCUUCAGUGCAGUGCCGCAGUGCACGGCAGUGCAGUUUAGGUUUCAGAGUCCCAUCGAAGGCCUCGUGGUGCUAUCCUCACUUAAUAUUUGGUGUGCAUUGUUGUUCAACCAUUUUUGUUGCUGGUGGAUGCGCAUCCUUGGCUGCUUGCAGUUGGCUAGGGCCAUUGAGGAACUUAUCUGUUGUCUUCAGGCAGCACAUGUUUUCUUAAAAUGGAGGCAACACAUGUUUACUAGAGGUGCAGCCCCAAAUCAGUUCUCUCAAAUAAGCAGAGAGAAAAAAGUUUCACUUUUUUUAAGUUCCCUUUGUUUUUGA